rnacentral:lncRNA from 8 species
AUGCACUGGUCCAAUGAUAUCCACUUCACUUUCAUGUGCAUAUCACGUGUGGCAGCUGUAAUCAGCCAGCCGCAUCCCUUACCAGCCCUCACUCACCUGCUUCUCUCAGCAUUCCCUACCAGCCCUCACUCACCUGCUUCUCUCAGCAUUCCCUACCAGCCCUCACUCACCUGCUUCUCUCAGCAUUCCCUACCAGCCCUCACUCACCUGCUUCUCUCAGCAUUCCUUACCAGCCCUCACUCACCUGCUUCUCUCAGCAUUCCUUACCAGCCCUCACUCACCUGCUUCUCUCAGCAUUCCCUACCAGCCCUCACCCACCUGCUUCUCUCAGCAUUCCCUACCAGCCCUCUCACCUGCUUCUCUCAGCAUUCCCUACCAGCCCUCACCCACCUGCUUCUCUCAGCAUUCCCUACCAGCCCUCACCCACCUGCUUCUCUCAGCAUUCCCUACCAGCCCUCACUCACCUGCUUCUCUCAGCAUUCCCUACCAGCCCUCACCCACCUGCUUCUCUCAGCAUUCUCUGCCAGACCUCACUCACCUGCUUCUCUCAGCAUUCCCUACCAGCCCUCACCCACCUGCUUCUCUCAGCAUUCCCUACCAGCCCUCACUCACCUGCUUCUCUCAGCAUUCCCUACCAGCCCUCGCUCACCGGCUUCUCUCAGCAUUCCCUACCAGCCCUCGCUCACCGGCUUCUCUCAGCAUUCCCUACCAGCCCUCGCUCACCUGCUUCUCUCAGCAUUCCCUACCAGCCCUCGCUCACCUGCUUCUCUCAGCAUUCCCUACCAGCCCUCGCCCACCUGCUUCUCUCAGCAUUCCCUACCAGCCCUCACCUACCUGCUUCUCUCAGCAUUCCCUACCAGCCCUCACCCACCUGCUUCUCUCAGCAUUCCCUACCAGCCCUCACUCACCUGCUUCUCUCAGCAUUCCCUACCAGCCCUCGCUCACCUGCUUCUCUCAGCAUUCCCUACCAGCCCUCACUCACCUGCUUCUCUCAGCAUUCCCUACCAGACCUCACUCACCUGCUUCUCUCAUCAUCCCCUACAAGCCCUCACUCACCUGCUUCUCUCAGAAUCCCCUACCAGCCCUCACUCACCUGCUUCUCCGUCAGCGGGGAUGCAGACUCAGACCCUGAUGGGUCUUCUGUUGUUAGAUUUGUACAUUUGUUACAAUGGAGCAGUGCGCAAAGCGAGCAAUUUUGAGACGUUGUAUAAUUUCAUCGCCUGUUAUAACCAAGAGCACAGACCAGUCUGA